rnacentral:rRNA from 1 species
AACGAACGCUGGCGGCAGGCUUAACACAUGCAAGUCGAACGCACCUUUCGGGGUGAGUGGCAGACGGGUGAGUAACGCGUGGGAAUCUACCCUUCUCUACGGGAUAGCUCCGGGAAACUGGAAUUAAUACCGUAUACGUCCUGAGGGAGAAAGAUUUAUCGGGGAAGGAUGAGCCCGCGUUGGAUUAGCUAGUUGGUGGGGUAAAGGCCUACCAAGGCGACGAUUCAUAGCUGGUCUAAGAGGAUGAUCAGCCACAUUGGGACUGAGACACGGCCCAAACUCCUACGGGAGGCAGCAGUGGGGAAUAUUGGACAGUGGGCGCAAGCAUGAACCAGCCAUGCCGCGUGAGUGAUGAAGGCCCUAGGGUUGUAAAGCGCUUUCAGUGGGGACGAUAAUGACGGUACCCACAGAAGAAGCCCCGGCUAACUUCGUG